rnacentral:rRNA from 1 species
AAGCUCGUAGUUGAAUUUCGGGAUCAAAUUGUCGGUCGUGCCUCGGUACGUACUGGCGUUAUUGGUUCCUCCCUUCUGAAGAACCGCGAUGUCAUUAAUUUGGUGUCGCGGGGAAUCAGGACUGUUACUUUGAAAAAAUUAGAGUGUUUAAAGCAGGCUCGCGCUUGAAUACAUUAGCAUGGAAUAAUGAAAUAGGACGUUUGAUUCUAUUUUGUUGGUUUCUAGGAUCGACGUAAUGAUUAAUAGGGAUAGUUGGGGGCAUUAGUAUUCAAUUGUCAGAGGUGAAAUUCUUGGAUUUAUUGAAGACUAACUACUGCGAAAGCAUUUGCCAAGGAUGUUUUCAUUAAUCAAGAACGAAAGUUAGGGGAUCGAAGACGAUCAGAUACCGUCGUAGUCUUAACCAUAAACUAUGCCGACUAGGAAUCAGACGAUGUUAAUUUUUUAAUGACUCGUUUGGCACCUUACGGGAAACCAAAGUGUUUGGGUUCCGGGGGGAGUAUGGUCGCAAGGCUGAAACUUAAAGGAAUUGACGGAAGGGCACCACCAGGGGUGGAGCCUGCGGCUUAAUUUGACUCAACACGGGGAAACUCACCAGGUCCAGACAUAGUAAGGAUUGACAGAUUGAGAGCUCUUUCUUGAUUCUAUGGGUG